GACGUAGGGUGCAAGCGUUGUCCGGAUUUAUUGGGCGUAAAGAGCUCGUAGGCGGCUUGUUGCGUCGACUGUGAAAACCCGCGGCUUAACCGCGGGCUUGCAGUUGAUACGGGCAGGCUAGAGUUCGGUAGGGGAGACUGGAAUUCCUGGUGUAGCGGUGAAAUGCGCAGAUAUCAGGAGGAACACCGGUGGCGAAGGCGGGUCUCUGGGCCUUACCUGACGCUGAGGAGCGAAAGCGUGGGUAGCGAACAGG
rnacentral:rRNA from 1 species